rnacentral:rRNA from 1 species
UCCGCCAGAGAACUACAAGUGAAAAGCUUGAAACUCAAAGGACUUGACGGUGUCCCAUAUCGACCUAGAGGAGCCUGUCCUAUAAUCGAUACUCCCCGUUCUACCCAACCCCAACUAGCAAAGCAUCAGCCUAUAUACCGCCGUCGACAGUUUACUCUAUGAAGACCCAAUAGUAAACAUAAUAGCCUUAACGCUAAUACGUCAGGUCAAGGUGUAGCAGAUGUUGGGGAAGAGAUUGGCUACAUUUUUUAUUAUAAAAAACACGAAUUGCACUAUGAAACACUGCAUGAAGGUGAAUUUAGUAGUAAAACAGAUAAGAGUGUCUGUUUUAACAACGCUCUGGGACGCGUACACACCGCCC